CUUAUGAUACAACACUUUGUCACUGUGAGCAACAAUAAGCUGACUUUCGGCGAUGGCACAAAACUUACGGUAAUAGGGGACCAUAAAUUAAUAUACUCUGUGUUUCUUCUUUUGCUGAUACCGCAUGAGGGGAGGGUUAGUCCACAGGUUUGGCUCAGAGGACUGAUAGUAGCGGGGAGGUUUUCCUCCUGCUCCAAAACAAUGUGAAUAAUGAAAGACUGUACUUUGGCAGUGGGACAAAACUCACGGUCCUAGAGAAGAAUGAUGAAAUCAUACCUCCAGCUGUAGCCGUCUUUUCCCCAUCAAAACUAGAGAUCCAACAGAAGAACAAGGCCACGCUGGUAUGCCUGGCCUCUGGUUUCUACCCUGACCACGUGAAUCUCAUCUGGAAGGUGAAUGGUGCUAAGAGGACAGAAGGCGUGGGGACAGUCGAGUUUUCCACAUGGAAUGGGAGUACCUACUCAUUGACCAGACAACUAAGGAUCUCAGACCAGGAAUGGUUCAACCCUUCUAAUCGUUUUGAGUGUGUUGCCCAUUUUUUUAAGAAUGAAACACUGGAAUCGAUACACAAAUUCAUCUAUGGUGAUGCUGGUUGUUCACUUACAGAAGAGUCCUACUUGCGAUAUGGAAAUACUCUGAAGAUCACUUACCUCAUUCUCUGUGGCAAAGCCUUUCUCUAUGCAGUUUUGGUGAGCAGUCUGGUGUGGACAGCCAAGGUAGGCUAG